GACAGAGGGUGCAAACGUUGUUCGGAAUUACUGGGCGUAAAGCGUGUGUAGGCGGCCAAGCAAGUCGGGGGUGAAAGCCCAGGGCUCAACCCUGGAAUUGCCUUCGAUACUGUUUGGCUAGAGACCGGAAGAGGUAAGUGGAACUGCGAGUGUAGAGGUGAAAUUCGUAGAUAUUCGCAAGAACACCAGUGGCGAAGGCGGCUCACUGGCCCGAUACUGACGCUGAGGCACGAAAGCGUGGGGAGCAAACAGG
rnacentral:rRNA from 1 species